GCCCAGGCUUCAUAAGCUGGAAGCAGAAGUCUAUUAUUCAGUAUGUAUGUAUGUAUGUGUGUGAGUGAUAGUUGGCAUUUAUGGGGUUAACUGUGUUUACCUGAGCAGACAGCGUCAGGCUGUGGUAUUGCGUCAUGAUGUCACACAGGCCGACAGUGAGAGAGACAGAGAGAUGACGCUGUCGCUCUGCCCGAAGUGUCCAUAACUUAAUAGAAGACGGUCCAAAAGCGUCUAAGACGGUCGGAAUUCGCCAGCGGUUGCAUCCACGUGUUUUUGCUUCAUAGUUCCUGCUCGGCGGUCGGGUUUUUUGAGUUGGAUAUGAUUUACUGAAGAUUUGGUGUUGGAAGUCGACGUCACCGUCACCAGUAACCAACUUCAGCGAGGAGACCAGCAGCAGAUAGCCAUGAGGCGGCUUCCUGCUGGUGAAGAGGAUCCAGAGAACCAGAUGGCGAGCCAGAGCUGAUGAACAGCGGAUGAAUUACCUACCUUCUUAACUGCGGUGUGGUAGGACCACGAAGUACACACAAAAUUAAAAAGGGCCCCAACGUAACAACCACAGAGGACACUUUCUUUUAUAUUUUUUUUAUAUUAUUCUCGUGCGCACUUUAUUAUUUUUCUUGUUAAUUGAAUUGUAUUCUAUUGUCACAUUGUUCUAUGAGUUCUAUUGAGUAUUAUUAUAAUACAGUGUUGAGAACUCAA